CCAAUCUCAGUUCGGAUUGUAGGCUGCAACUCGCCUACAUGAAGUUGGAAUCGCUAGUAAUCGCGAAUCAGAAUGUCGCGGUGAACACGUUCCCGGGUCUUGUACACACCGCCCGUCACACCACGAGAGUUUACAACACCCGAAGUCAGUGGCCUAACCGCAAGGAGGGAGCUGCCUAAGGUGGGGUAGAUGGUUGGGGUGAAGUCGUAACAAGGUACC
rnacentral:rRNA from 1 species